AGAACGAACGCUGGCGGCGUGCUUAACACAUGCAAGUCGAACGCGAAAGGGACUUCGGUCCUGAGUAAAGUGGCGCACGGGUGAGUAACGCGUAGAUAACCUGUCUUUAUGUCUGGAAUAAUACGCCGAAAGGGGUACUAAUACCGGAUAUUUUUUGCAUUGCAUAAGCAGUGUAAGCAAAGGUGGCCUCUGACAUAAGCUACUGCAUAAAGAGGGGUCUGCGUACCAUUAGCUAGUAGGUGGGGUAAAGGGCCUACCUAGGCUACGAUGGUUAGCGGGUCUGAGGGGAUGAUCCGCCACACUGGCACUGGAACACGGGCCAGACUCCUACGGGAGGCAGCAGUGAGGAAUAUUGCGCAAUGGGGGCAACCCUGACGCAGCGACGCCGCGUGAGUGAGGAAGGCCUUCGGGUCGUAGAGCUCUGUCAAAGGGAAAGAAGUGCAUGGUGGUUAAUACCUGCCAUGUUUGACGGUACCCUUAAAGGAAGCACCGGCUAACUCCGUGCCAGCCGCCGC
rnacentral:rRNA from 1 species